CAGCACCUCAAGUGGUCAGGAUGAUUAUUGGGCCUAAAGCAUCCGUAGCCUGCUUUGUUAGUUUUCGGUUAAAUCCAUACGCUCAACGUAUGGGCUGCCGGGAAUACUGCAAAGCUAGGGAGUGGGAGAGGUAGACGGUACUCGGUAGGAAGGGGUAAAAUCCUUUGAUCUAUUGAUGACCACCUGUGGCGAAGGCGGUCUACCAGAACACAUCCGACGGUGAGGGAUGAAAGCUGGGGGAGCAAACCGGAUUAGAUACCCGAGUAGUCC
rnacentral:rRNA from 1 species